UGGGGAGACAGCAUGGCUAGAAACAUCCCCUGGAGAUGCAAGGCGCCCAGGGCUCCUGGUAAAGAGCACAGCCAGGGAGGAAGUGCCCUGAGGCUGCUGGGCGAGCCGGAAGUGGGAGCUGUUUCUAGCACAGAGGAUGUGGCUCAAGACAAGGUCUUCAGACAGUGUGGAAUGGUGAGCUUGAGGAGAGUCCUGAAGGCAUUGGAUCUGAACACUGCUACCGUAAACUGCUAACCCUGGCCAGGACUCCAUGGACGAGGACCUGUUCCAGCAGGUGAUGGUCUGGACGUGAUCAGAGGUGACUGCAUAGGAAUUCCAGACAUUUGCCUUCUUCCUUGGUUCUCCAGUAGCCUUCGUUUGGUCUUAAAAUAGGCACAUGCUUUAUCAUGUGCUGACCUACUAAUGUGAAGAAAUCCCCAAUGUCGGUGAUUUAAAAGGGAGCCCCAGGAAGAUCAUCGUGUUCCUGACCCCGGUGACAGCAAUUAAGUCUGCAGCCUUCCUCAUGUGCAUGUCUGUCCUUGGAUGUAAGUUUUAAAAGAACCAUGGAACCAGCGAGACCAAAACAGAGGGUCUUUGGUACAUGUUAUUCCCCAAACAAAGAGGAAUAUCUAAAUCAGAAAAUGUAUGAAUUCUAAUAUUUCAUAUUUUCACUAAUGAUCUAAUUGUGGAAUAAUAUUUAUUUACUUCCAAUGGGCGACUGAAUAAAGAUGAAGAGAAACAGUUAUACCUGUAUAUGGUGGGCAUCUUUCUGUGCGUGUCCUACAGGUAAUAAUCCAUAGUUCAAUGAUACAAAAAGUGACUUUGUAGAAGCAAGAGUACUUUUUCUUGUGUCUGGAGGCAGUGUUAGGUGCCCAUCUUCAUGUUUCUUUGGCACCCUCAACUCACCUCUUAUAAAGCAUUUCUCACCCUUUCCUAUGAUUUCUGUUAAUGAGUCUUCUUUCCACACUGGACUGUGACCUUUAAGAGGAUAACUGUAUGAUUUAUUAUUUUCUACAGAGGA
ensembl:lncRNA